GGACUCAGGUGCUCUGGAUUUGGGGCAUAAAAGGGUGUGUGUGGGGAACUUCUGGAGCUAGUAGUCUAUGAAUGUGAUGAUUUUCCUACCAGACUUUGUUUCUCAUCUGAGCAUCUCUGUGAAGCAGGUGCUGGGGACUAUCAUGAAGAAGGCCCAUGUCUACAACAGGAGUGCCCAGUCCAAGCCACAGCAGCAGCCAACUUUUGUCCCAUUGUAGCAGCCCAGAUCCUGUCACCAGCCAGAGGAAAAUCACAGCAGAGCUUCCUGACCCUUGUGCCAUUUGGCUGGAGACUGCAUGUUUGACCUUCUCCAAACCAGAGACUGAGCAGAACAUGUUUCUCCUCUAGACCAAAGGUCCCACCCCUACCCGGACACUGCCUUUUAAAGGUCUCCAACCUAAUAAAAAACAGCUGUAUGCUCCUCUCUCCAAA